GCAUCGAUGAAGAACGCAGCGAAAUGCGAUAAGUAAUGUGAAUUGCAGAAUUCAGUGAAUCAUCGAAUCUUUGAACGCACAUUGCGCCCACUAGUAUUCUAGUGGGCAUGCCUGUUCGAGCGUCAUUUCAACCCUCAAGCCUUAGUUGCUUGGUGUUGGGAGCUUAUCUUGCCGGAAGGCGGAUAACUCCUCAAAACCAUUGGCGGUGUCGCGGUGACCCCAAGCGUAGUAAAUCUCUCUUUUUCUCGCUUUAGGCGUCAGCGCCGGCCUCCAGCCGUUAAAACCCCCCUAAUUUUUUAAUGGUUGACCUCGGAUCAGGUAGGACUACCCGCUGAACUUAAGCAUAUCAAUAAGCGGAGGA
rnacentral:misc_RNA from 1 species